rnacentral:rRNA from 1 species
AUUGAACGCUGGCGGCAGGCCUAACACAUGCAAGUCGAACGAGUGGCGGACGGGUGAGUAAUGUAUGGGAAACUGACUGAUGGAGGGGGAUAACUACUGGAAACGGUAGCUAAUACCGCAAACCAUCGGAGGUGCCCAGAUGGGAUUAGCUCGUAGGUGGGGUAAUGGCUCACCUAGGGGACGAUCCCUAGCUGGUGUGAGAGGAUGACCAGCCACACUGGAACUGAGACACGGUCCAGACUCCUACGGGAGGCAGCAGUGGGGAAUAUUGCACAAUGGGCGAAAGCCUGAUGCAGCCAUGCCGCGUGUAUGAAGAAGGCCUUCGGGUUGUAAAGCACUUUCAGCGGGGAGGCGUUACCCGCAGAAGAAGCACCGGCUAACUCCGUGCCAGCAGCCGCGGUAAUUC